rnacentral:rRNA from 1 species
GACGAACGCUGGCGGCGUGCCUAAUACAUGCAAGUCGAACGGUAGCACAGAGAGCUUGCUCUUGGGUGACGAGUGGCGGACGGGUGAGUAAUGUCUGGGAAACUGCCCGAUGGAGGGGGAUAACUACUGGAAACGGUAGCUAAUACCGCAUAACGUCUUCGGGCCAAAGCGGGGGACCUUCGGGCCUCACACCAUCGGAUGUGCCCAGAUGGGAUUAGCUAGUAGGUGGGGUAACGGCUCACCUAGGCGACGAUCUCUAGCUGGUCUGAGAGGAUGACCAGCCACACUUGACGUGGAACACGGUCCAGGCUCCUACGGGAGGCAGCAGUGGGGAAUAUUGAACAAUGGGCGCAAGCCUGAUGCAGCCAUGCCGCGUGUAUGAAGAAGGCCUUCGGGUUGUAAAGUACUUUCAGUGGGGAGGAAGGCGAAGAGGUUAAUAACCUUUUCGAUUGACGUUACCCGCAGAAGAAGCACCGGCUAACUCCGUGCCAGCCGCCGCCGUAA